AUUGAACGCUGGCGGCAUGCCUUACACAUGCAAGUCGAACGGUAACGGGCCUUCGGGUGCCGACGAGUGGCGAACGGGUGAGUAAUGCAUCGGAACGUACCUUUCAGUGGGGGAUAACGUAGCGAAAGUUACGCUAAUACCGCAUAUUCUGUGAGCAGGAAAGCAGGGGAUCGCAAGACCUUGCGCUGAUUGAGCGGCCGAUGUCAGAUUAGCUAGUUGGUGAGGUAAAGGCUCACCAAGGCGACGAUCUGUAGCGGGUCUGAGAGGAUGAUCCGCCACACUGGGACUGAGACACGGCCCAGACUCCUACGGGAGGCAGCAGUGGGGAAUUUUGGACAAUGGGGGCAACCCUGAUCCAGCCAUGCCGCGUGAGUGAAGAAGGCCUUCGGGUUGUAAAGCUCUUUCGGCCGGAAAGAAAUCGCACAGGCUAAUACCUUGUGUGGAUGACGGUACCGGAAUAAGAAGCACCGGCUAACUACGUGCCAGCAGCCGCGGUAAGAC
rnacentral:rRNA from 1 species